GGGUCCAUAGCUUGGUAGCAGAGCAUCUGUUUCACGUUCAGAAGGUCACAGGUUCGAUCCCUGGUAUCCCCA